rnacentral:snRNA from 1 species
UUCCUAUUUGGAACCAGCACAUAUACUAAAAUUGGAACGAUACAGAGAAGAUUAGCAUGGCCCCUGCACAAGGAUUUCUGCUUCAGGGAUGCAGAAAUCAUAA